CAACUACUCCCUCUGUCCCAAAUUUCUUGUCUUAGAUUUGUCUAGAUACGGAUGUAUCUAAUACUAAAAUGUGACUUGAUACAUUUGUAUCUAGACAAAUCUAAGACAAGAAUUUUGGGAUGGAGGGAGUACUUU
rnacentral:pre_miRNA from 1 species